UACGUAGGGGGCAAGCGUUGUUCGGAAUUACUGGGCGUAAAGGGCGCGUAGGCGGCACGGCAAGUCGGGCGUGAAAGCCCGGGGCUCAACCCCGGAACGGCUCUCGAAACUGCCGAGCUAGAGUGCGGAAGGGGCAACUGGAAUUCCCAGUGUAGCGGUGAAAUGCGUAGAUAUUGGGAAGAACACCUGAGGCGAAGGCGGGUUGCUGGGCCGACACUGACGCUGAGGCGCGAAAGCCAGGGGAGCAAACGGG
rnacentral:rRNA from 1 species